UGGGGAAUUUUGCACAAUGGGGGAAACCCUGAUGCAGCGACGCCGCGUGAUUUAGAAGGCCUUCGGGUUGUAAAAAUCUUUUCUAUGGGAAGAAAAUGACAGUACCAUACGAAUAAGGACCGGCUAAUUACGUGCCAGCAGCCGCGGUAAUACGUAAGGUCCGAGCGUUGUCCGGAAUCAUUGGGCGUAAAGGGUACGUAGGCGGAUAAGCAAGUUAGAAGUGAAAUCCUAUAGCUCAACUAUAGUAAGCUUUUAAAACUGCUCAUCUUGAGGUAUGGAAGGGAAAGUGGAAUUCCUAGUGUAGCGGUGAAAUGCGCAGAUAUUAGGAGGAAUACCGGUGGCGAAGGCGACUUUCUGGCCAUAUACUGACGCUGAGGUACGAAAGCGUGGGUAGCAAACAGG
rnacentral:rRNA from 1 species